CAAAUUAGAGCUUGAAAUAAAGUAUUUCAUUUACAUUGAGAAGAUAUUAUAUAAUAAUUAAUUUGG
rnacentral:tRNA from 1 species